rnacentral:rRNA from 1 species
UACGUAGGGGGCAAGCGUUGUCCGGAUUUAUUGGGCGUAAAGAGCGUGUAGGCGGCUUCACAGGUCUGCUGUGAAAACUCGAGGCUCAACCUCGAGCUGUCGGUGGAAACCGUGGGGCUAGAGUCCGGAAGAGGAGAGUGGAAUUCCUGGUGUAGCGGUGAAAUGCGCAGAUAUCAGGAGGAACACCGGUGGCGAAGGCAGGUCUCUGGGCCAUUACUGACACUGAGAAGCGAAAGCAUGGGGAGCGAACAGG